AUUGAACGCUGGCGGCAUGCCUAACACAUGCAAGUCGAACGAGUGGCGAACGGGGGCGUAAUGUCUGGGAACCUGCCCGCUGGAGGGGGAUAACUACUGGAAACGGCAUCUAAUAACGCAUACCAUCGGAUGUGCCCAGAUGGGAUUAGCUAGUAGGUGGGGUAAAGGCGCACCUAGGCGACGAUCCCCAGCUGGUCUGAGAGGAUGACCGGCCACACGGGAACGGAGACACGGGCCAGGCUCCUACGGGAGGCAGCAGUGGGGAAUAUUGCGCAAUGGGCGAAAGUCUGAUGCAGCCAUGCCGCGUGUGUGAAGAAGGCCUUCGGAUUGUAAAAUACUGUUGUCAGGGAAGCGGUACCUACCGAAGAAGCCACGGCUAACUCCGGGCCAGCAGCCGCGGUAAUAC
rnacentral:rRNA from 1 species